GAUGAACGCUGGCGGCGUGCCUAAUACAUGCCAGUCGAGCGAACGAACGAGAAGCUUGCUUCUCUGAUGUUAGCGGCGGACGGGUGAGUAACACGUGGAUAACCUACCUAUAAGACUGGGAUAACUUCGGGAAACCGGAGCUAAUACCGGAUAAUAUUUUGAACCGCAUGGUUCAAAAGUGAAAGACGGUCUUGCUGUCACUUAUAGAUGGAUCCGCGCUGCAUUAGCUAGUUGGUAAGGUAACGGCUUACCAAGGCAACGAUGCAUAGCCGACCUGAGAGGGUGAUCGGCCACACUGGAACUGAGACACGGUCCAGACUCCUACGGGAGGCAGCAGUAGGGAAUCUUCCGCAAUGGGCGAAAGCCUGACGGAGCAACGCCGCGUGAGUGAUGAAGGUCUUCGGAUCGUAAAACUCUGUUAUUAGGGAAGAACAUAUGUGUAAGUAACUGUGCACAUCUUGACGGUACCUAAUCAGAAAGCCACGGCUAACUACGUG
rnacentral:rRNA from 1 species